UGGCUCUUCAACUUUGUCCUUGUUUGGCUUUAUAAAUAUUUUGAUAUGAGCGUCACCAAUGAGUCUUAUGAAGACGAAACACGCGUCUGGCAUACUAAAUUAUAAUCCUGGUACCUUUGAUAACUAUUUACAACAGCUAGUCCUGAAUGUUGAUUUUCCUCAUGUAUUGUGAAAUUUGUGAUUAUCUAAUCUCUUUUAAAACCGACCUGACUGUUCUU
rnacentral:lncRNA from 1 species